rnacentral:rRNA from 1 species
GACGAACGCUGGCGGCGCGCUUAACACAUGCAAGUCGAACGGAAAGGCCUGCUUUCCCUUGUGGAUUGCGGGUACUCGAGUGGCGAACGGGUGAGUAACACGUGAGUGAUCUGCCCCCAACUUGGGUAUAAGCCUGGGAAACUGGGUCUAAUUCCCGAUAGGACUGCAGGGUGGUGCCUGUGGUGGAAAACGAUUUUCUAGUGGUUGGGGAUGAGCUCUCGGCCUAUCAGCUUGUUGGUGGGGUAAUGGCCUACCAAGGCGGCGUCGGGUAGCCGGCCGGGGAGGGUGGACGGCAACAUUGGGACUGAGAUACGGCCCAGACUCCUACGGGAGGCAGCAGUGGGGAAGAUUGAACGAUGGGCGGAAGCCUGAGGCAGCGACGCAGCGUGGGGGAUGACGGGCUUCGGGUUGUAAACUCCUUUCGACCGCGAGGAAGCCACCGGGUUGGAAGGGUGGUGACGGUAGUGGUAGAAGAAGCACCGGCUAACUACGUG